GGGCGUGUGGCUCAGUGGGAGAGCAUUCGGUUCGCAUCCGAAAGGCCGCGGGUUCGAGUCCCGCCACGUCCACCA
rnacentral:tRNA from 1 species